CAGUCGCCGCGGUAACACGAAGGGUGCAAGCGUUACUCGGAAUUACUGGGCGUAAAGCGUGCGUAGGUGGUGGUUUAAGUCCGUUGUGAAAGCCCUGGGCUCAACCUGGGAAUUGCAGUGGAUACUGGGUCACUAGAGUGUGGUAGAGGAUAGUGGAAUUUCCGGUGUAGCAGUGAAAUGCGUAGAGAUCGGAAGGAACAUCUGUGGCGAAGGCGACUAUCUGGGCCAACACUGACACUGAGGCACGAAAGCGUGGGGAGCAAACAGGAUUAGAUACCCCAGUAGUCCCUGUCUCUUAUAC
rnacentral:rRNA from 1 species